rnacentral:rRNA from 1 species
CCAAGUUUUUAAGGGCGCACGGUGGAUGCCUUGGCACCAGGAACCGAUGAAGGACGUGGGAGGCCACGAUAGUCCCCGGGGAGUCGUCAACCAGGCUUUGAUCCGGGGGUUUCCGAAUGGGGAAACCCGGCAGUCGUCAUGGGCUGUCACCCUUGCCUGAACACAUAGGGCAAGUGGAGGGAACGCGGGGAAGUGAAACAUCUCAGUACCCGCAGGAAGAGAAAACAACCGUGAUUCCGGGAGUAGUGGCGAGCGAAACCGGAUGAGGCCAAACCGUAUGCGUGUGAGACCCGGCAGGGGUUGCGCAUACGGGGUUGUGGGAUCUCUCUUCUACGGUCUGCCGGCCGUGGGACGAGUCAGAAACCGUUGAUGUAGGCGAAGGACAUGCGAAAGGUCCGGCGUAGAGGGUAAGACCCCCGUAGUCGAAACAUCAGCGGCUCGUUUGAGAGACACCCAAGUAGCACGGGGCCCGAGAAAUCCCGUGUGAAUCUGGCGGGACCACCCGCUAAGCCUAAAUAUUCCCUGGUGACCGAUAGCGGAUAGUACCGUGAGGGAAUGGUGAAAAGUACCGCGGGAGCGGAGUGAAAUAGUACCUGAAACCGUGUGCCUACAAGCCGUGGGAGCGUCGGAACAAGGCUUGCCUUGUUCUCGUGACUGCGUGCCUUUUGAAGAAUGAGCCUGCGAGUUUGCGGUGUGUUGCGAGGUUAACCCGGGUGGGGAAGCCGUAGCGAAAGCGAGUCCGAAUAGGGCGAUUUCAGUAGCACGCUCAAGACCCGAAGCGGAGUGAUCAAGCCCAUGGGGCAGGUUGAAGCGGAGGUAAGACUUCGUGGAGGACCGAACCCACCAGGGUUGAAAACCUGGGGGAUGACCUGUGGUUAGGGGUGAAAGGCCAAUCAAACUCCGUGAUAGCUGGUUCUCCCCGAAAUGCAUUUAGGUGCAGCGUCGUGUGUUUCUUGCCGGAGGUAGAGCACUGGAUAGGCGAUGGGCCCUACCGGGUUACUGACCUUAGCCAAACUCCGAAUGCCGGUAAGUGAGAGCGCGGCAGUGAGACUGUGGGGGAUAAGCUCCAUGGUCGAGAGGGAAACAGCCCAGAGCAUCGACUAAGGCCCCUAAGCGUACGCUAAGUGGGAAAGGAUGUGGAGUCGCACAGACAACCAGGAGGUUGGCUUAGAAGCAGCCACCCUUGAAAGAGUGCGUAAUAGCUCACUGGUCUAGUGAUUCCGCGCCGACAAUGUAGCGGGGCUCAAGCGUACCGCCGAAGUCGUGUCAUUCACACAAUAGGGCCAACGCCUGUGUGGAUGGGUAGGGGAGCGUCGUGUGCCGGGUGAAGCAGCGCCGGAAGGCAGUUGUGGACGGUUCACGAGUGAGAAUGCAGGCAUGAGUAGCGAUUCACACGUGAGAAACGUGUGCGCCGAUUGACUAAGGGUUCCUGGGUCAAGCUGAUCUGCCCAGGGUAAGUCGGGACCUAAGGCGAGGCCGACAGGCGUAGUCGAUGGAUAACCGGUUGAUAUUCCGGUACCCGCUGUGAAGCGUCAAACAUCGAAUCCAGUGAUGCUAAGCCCGUGAAGCCGCCGGCUGAGUCUUCGGACGAGGUCGGAGUGGUGGAGCCGGUGACCCGAGCUGGUAGUAGGUGAGUGAUGGGGUGACGCAGGAAGGUAGUCCAUCCCGGGCGGUGGUUGUCCCGGGGUAAGGGUGUAGGCCGGACGGUAGGUAAAUCCGCCGUUCAUUAAGGCUGAGACCUGAUGCCGAGCCGAUUGUGGUGAAGUGGAUGAUCCUAUGCUGUCGAGAAAAGCCUCUAGCGAGUUUCAUGGCGGCCCGUACCCUAAACCGACUCAGGUGGUCAGGUAGAGAAUACCGAGGCGUUCGGGUGAACUAUGGUUAAGGAACUCGGCAAAAUGCCCCCGUAACUUCGGGAGAAGGGGGGCCACGUCUGGUGAUCCGAUUUACUCGGUGAGCUGGGGGUGGCCGCAGAGACCAGCGAGAAGCGACUGUUUACUAAAAACACAGGUCCGUGCGAAGCCGUAAGGCGAUGUAUACGGACUGACGCCUGCCCGGUGCUGGAACGUUAAGGGGACCGGUUAGCUCACUUUCGGGUGGGCGAAGCUGAGAACUUAAGCGCCAGUAAACGGCGGUGGUAACUAUAACCAUCCUAAGGUAGCGAAAUUCCUUGUCGGGUAAGUU